AUUGAACGCUGGCGGCAUGCCUUACACAUGCAAGUCGAACGGCAGCACGGGAGCAAUCCUGGUGGCGAGUGGCGAACGGGUGAGUAAUAUAUCGGAACGUGCCCAGUCGUGGGGGAUAACGUAGCGAAAGCUACGCUAAUACCGCAUACGAUCUAUGGAUGAAAGCGGGGGAUCGCAAGACCUCGCGCGAUUGGAGCGGCCGAUAUCAGAUUAGGUAGUUGGUGAGGUAAAGGCUCGCCAAGCCGACGAUCUGUAGCUGGUCUGAGAGGACGACCAGCCANACUGGGACUGAGACACGGCCCAGACUCCUACGGGAGGCAGCAGUGGGGAAUUUUGGACAAUGGGCGCAAGCCUGAUCCAGCAAUGCCGCGUGCAGGAU
rnacentral:rRNA from 1 species